rnacentral:lncRNA from 1 species
UGAGUGUGUGAGUGAGUGAGCGAGUGAGUGAGUGAGUGUGUGCGUGGGGGCACUCGGCUUGUUGUUGUCGGUGACUUCCCCCUUCCCUCCACCCCUCCCCUCCCCGGCCGCCGCUGCAGUGGCCGCUCCCUGGGCCGUAGGAAAUGAGCGAUAACGAUGACAUCGAGGUGGAGAGCGACGCUGACAAACGGGCUCACCAUAAUGCACUGGAACGAAAACGUAGGGACCACAUCAAAGACAGCUUUCACAGUUUGCGGGACUCAGUCCCAUCACUCCAAGGAGAGAAGGCAUCCCGGGCCCAAAUCCUAGACAAAGCAACAGAGUAUAUCCAGUAUAUGCGAAGGAAAAACCAUACGCACCAGCAAGACAUUGAUGACCUCAAGCGGCAGAAUGCUCUUCUGGAGCAACAAGGGGAAAGCGAGAGCUGAUCAAGUUCUUUGUUCCUGGGGAAUUCACUUCUCUUCCUCCCUCAUGGAAGAUGCAAGUAAAAGGAAAUUCCGUGCACUGGAGAAGGCAAGAUCAAGUGCCCAACUGCAGACCAACUACCCCUCCUCAGACAACAGCCUCUACACCAACGCCAAGGGCGGCACCAUCUCUGCCUUCGAUGGGGGUUCAGACUCCAGCUCAGAGUCCGAGCCUGAGGAGCCCCAGAACAGGAAGAAACUGCGGAUGGAGGCCAGCUAAGCCAUGCGGGGCAGGCCAGCGAGAAACUGUCUGCUCACCCGUU